CACGUAGGGGGCGAGCGUUUGUCCGGAUUUAUUGGGCGUAAAGAGCUCGUAGGCGGCUCAGUAAGUCAGGUGUGAAAACUCCAGGCUCAACCUGGAGACGCCACCUGAUACUGCUGUGGCUAGAGUCCGGUAGGGGAGCAUGGAAUUCCUGGUGAUAGCGGUGAAAUGCGCAGAUAUCAGGAGGAACACCAGUGGCAAAGGCGGUGCUCUGGGCCGGAACUGACGCUGAGGAGCGAAAGCGUGGGGAGCGAACAGG
rnacentral:rRNA from 1 species